AAAAGUUUGAUUCUUGCUUAAGUUUUUGUUUUAAAAUUAUUUACACAUGCAUAUUUUGGUAGGAUUAAGGUAUAGAUGUUUAAGGUAUUUAUAUUAGGGCUCGGUAACAUGUAACGAAUAAAAUCGCAGUGUGGGAGUUUAAUGAUUAAAUUAAGGUUUGAUUUAGUGAAUUUAAAGAGAUUUGAUUAAAUUUUGUGCCAGCAGUCGCGGUUAGACUUUAAAGUCAAAUAAAGAUAUUUUGGUAGGAGUUAAUACAGAUGUUUAAAAAGUAAUUGGGGAUUUGAUUUAAUAGUAGGUGGAAUUAGUUUGUUAAAAUAAAUCUAGAUUAGGAUUUAAAUUAGAAGAAGCUCGAAAAUUUGAGGGAUAAAACAGGAUUAGAUACCCUGCUAUACUUAAAAGUAAUAAAUUGACUUGAAUAUUAGUAGUUAUAGGCUUUAAAUUCAAAGGAUUUGGCGGUAUUUUAGUCUUGUUAGAGGAACCUGUUCUAUAAAUGAUACUACACGAAGAAUCUUACUUACUUUUGCUUUCAGUUUGUAUACCGUCAUUAUUAGAUAACCUUUGUUGAGAAAGUUAUUGGGGCGCAAGGAGUUAAAUAUAUUAGAUCAAGGUGCAGCUCAUAGGUAAGAAGAAAUGGGUUACAAUAAAAUUUAUUUAAACGUAUUGUUAGUUGAAUAACUAGCAUGAAGGAGGAUUUAAUUGUAAUGUGAAUUUUAACAAGUUAACAUGAUAUGAGAACUAGAAUAUGUACAUAUCGCCCGUCGCUUCCAUUUAAGGUGGAAUAAGUCGUAACAUAGUAGGUGUACUGGAAAGUGUACCUAGAAUUAUU
rnacentral:ncRNA from 1 species